GUCUAACACACACCAGGAGAAAGNGNGGGGCAAGACCGGUGCCAGCCGCCGCGGUAAUACCGGCUGCUCGAGUGAUAGCCACUUUUACUGGGCUUAAAGCGUUCGUAGCUUGGUCGUUAAGUCUCUGGGGAAAUCUUUUGGCUCAACCAAAAGGCGUCUCAGGGAAACUGGCGACCUAGGAACCGGGAGAGGUAAGACGUACUUCGGGGGUAGGAGUGAAAUCUUGUAAUCCCCGAGGGACGACCGAUGGCGAAGGCAUCUUACCAGAACGGCUUCGACAGUGAGGGACGAAAGCUGGGGGAGCAAACCGGAUUAGAUACCCGGGUAGUCCCAGCCGUAAACGAUGUGCGUUAGGUGUGUCAGCGACCACGAGUCGCUGAGGUGCCGAAGGGAAACCGUGAAACGCACCGCCUGGGAAGUACGGUCGCAAGGCUGAAACUUAAAGGAAUUGGCGGGGGAGCACCACAACGGGUGGAGCCUACGGUUUAAUUGGAUUCAACGCCGGA
rnacentral:rRNA from 1 species